rnacentral:rRNA from 1 species
GACGAACGCUGGCGGCGUGCCUACUACAUGCAAGUCGAACGCAGUGGGGACGGGUGAGUAACAAGUGGGUAACCUCCCAACAGAGGGGAUAAAACUUGGAAACAGGUGCUAAACCGAUAUGGAGGGAUGGCACCGCUGUGCAUUAGCUAGAUGGGGGGGUAACGGCGCACCAAGGCCACGAGGCAUAGCCGACGUGCAAGGGUUAUCGGCCACACUGGUACUGAGACACGGCCCAGACUCCUACGGGAGGCAGCAGUAGGGAAUAUUCGGCAAUGGACGAAAGUCUGACCGAGCAACGCCGCGUGAGUGAAGAAGGUUUUCGGAUCGUAAAACUCUGUUGUUAGAGAAGCGGUAUCUAACCAGAAAGCCACGGCUAACUACGUGCCAGCAGCCGCGGUAAUAC